rnacentral:rRNA from 1 species
GUGUCAGCAGCCGCGGUAAUACGGAGGGUGCGAGCGUUGUUCGGAAUUACUGGGCGUAAAGCGCGUGUAGGCGGCCUUCUAAGUCUGGUGUGAAAGCCCGGGGCUCAACCCCGGAAGUGCAUUGGAUACUGGGAGGCUGGAGUACCGGAGAGGAGGGUGGAAUUCCUGGUGUAGCGGUGAAAUGCGUAGAUAUCAGGAGGAACACCGGUGGCGAAGGCGGCCCUCUGGACGGAUACUGACGCUGAGACGCGAAAGCGUGGGGAGCAAACAGGAUUAGAAACCCUAGUAGUCC